UUAUAAUUAAAAUGGCCUCAAGGCCACCUUUAUUAGAUGGACAAUUUUCAUAAAUUCAAACAGUUUAGUACCUAAUUACAUAAAAUUUUGUCUGUUUUCAUAUUUACGUAAAAUCUCAAAUUUUCAUUCAAUGUCACGAUAAAUAGCUAAGACGCGAUACAUCACCAUCUGAAACAUAAGUAUCGAUACAACAUCUUAUGUAUUAAAAUCAUAGAGAUAUAUUCAGAUUCAUAAGUCUUAUGUAUCAGUAGCACAAAAAAUAUUUCGGUACUUUAUUUUUGUAAAGUUUCAAUCAAGCACAUCUUUUUUAUGUAUUUGAAACCUAAUAUUCAGUAAGAUACAUAGCUUUUGUACAUUUGAUGGAGGAUCGCAUGAAAUAUCUUUUUGUUAUUUUCUACCUGAUGCAUCAUUCUUAUGUAUCUCCGAACUCUCUUAACAUACACUAUUCUUGUGCAUCUUCAUUAACAUCAUCAUCUUCAACUUCUAUUGAUGAAUCUCUGAACUUCAGAAUUUCUCAUGGCUUGAACUGUCAUGUACACUAUCGUGGAUUCAAGAUAUGAUGGUGGAGGAAGUUGUGGAUUCGAGAUCUGAUUUGAGAUCUGUAUAUGAAUUUUGUACAUAUCAUUUGAGAUCUGUAUAUACAUUUGGGAACUGAUGGUGGAGGAUGCCAUCGUGAACCUUUCUCCGACCACUCCUGACCACCAUUGAAGCAUAAUUUUUGGAUUAGGCUUCUCUGAUGAAAUAAGAUCAUCUGGAUCAGAAUGUACACAUAUUUGUUCAUUGUAUAUCAUUCCAACUCGUUAUCAUUCUCAUGACCUAAUAGAAUAAAAAUUGGAAGCCAUUAGAGUGUACAGAUGGAAAAUUGAAAAUUGGCAAAGUGAAAUGAAA
rnacentral:lncRNA from 1 species